UGUUGGAACCUGGGUGUGAAGGCCCAACCCAAUGAGGUAAAUUAGUGAGGGUGUGUAGACUAUGAAGGAAGAAUUUGGGCAUGCAGCCUAAACGAAAUCAAGCUACAAAUGGUAUGAGAAUCAAGGUCAAACACCAGCCCACACGCGUUCACUAUGAGACGAAUCCAAAACGGAUGCAAACGGAACGUUCAAGAUUCAACGUUGCAUCCACAUCUCAAACACGAGCCAUUUCACAAAAUCCUCGGCGCUUGAAACACUUCAUCCUUCUCCAAUCGCACUCUUGAUAUUCAUCCUUUCAUCUAAAAAAAGAUCAAUCAAAGCUCAAACAGAAGCUGAGUCCGACUCACCAAGAUCCAUCAUCUCCAAUGCUUACAUAUGGAAACAAUCAAAACAAUAACACAAUUGCAUCGUGAAAUUGAGAUAAAUCAUGGAUUGAAGUAAUAAGAAGAACUCACCGGUUUGAAAUCGUUGAAUCAAUUUGAUUGUGCAUGCAGAAUCAGAGCUUUGCCGCAAACAGGUACAAAUGAAUUCUUUCUCCUUCCUAUGCCUCAUUUGUGUUGAUGAGUUUGUAGAGAAUUGGGAGAGAAAAUCAGAGACUGGAGAGUAAUUACAGUGCUUUGAUCUCCAGUUGUAGCAUGAAAGAGAGCUCGAGAUGCAGAUUGCAGAAUGGAAAACUCUGAUGCAGAAUGAAGAAUUUGAUAGGUAGAAUGAAAAAAUCUGAUGCAAAGUGAAGACUUUGAGAUGCAAAAUGAAUAACUCUGAUGCAGAGUAAAGAACUUGAGAUGCAUAAUGUGUUUAAAUAGCCAAAGUUGUUAGAAAUUCAUCCUCAAAUUACUUUGAAAUUCACUUCAAAUUGAUUUGAAAUGCAAAAAUAGUUAGAGGGACAUGAAUCAAUUUUGCAGGGUACUUUCUUGUUGUGGAUAUGUUAUGUUUGGAUUGAUAACCUUUGAAUUGUCGUACAUUGGUCGGGCUAACAUUGACGAACGACUUUGGUGGGAACUAAUGUAACUUUAUUGUUUUUGGGCUUCAAUGUUACUUGUUUAUUGCAGGUACAUUCUUAUGCUGCAAGAUUGUAGAAUUGGCGCUUAUAACUGUUGGUGUAAAUCCUAGAGACCAAUACUUUUGGUACUUGUAUCGAAUUAUUUAUUAAUAAUAAAAUGUUUUUUCUUUAUUAUGUUUGUUUAAUAAAGUCCCUAGAAUAGCUAAUCCGUUUAAUGUAUCAAGUGUGACUUAAUCAUGAGAUCACAUUAAACAUAAGGACAUUAUUCUUAAAGUAUCUGUAGUCGAGUUUUAUUGUGAAGUGGGAUAACAUUAAAGCAUUAAGACUAUUAUGUAUAUAGACUGAUGAUCACAUCUCAUGGAUCAUGGAUAAAGAGUUAUCGAGUCUUAAACAUAUGUAUGAAUAUUAAGAGUAAUAUUUAUAUUGGAUUGACCCGCUAUGAGAAUACUAUAUAGAAUGUUAUGCAAAGUGUCAUAAGUUAUUCUCAUGGUGAUAAUGGUGUAUACCACCAUUCGAUCUGAAACCACAAUGGACCCUAGAUGUAGAGUCGAGUGUCUUAUUGCUGAUCAAACAUUGUCUGUAACCGGAUGACCAUAAAGACAUUUGAUGGGUACUCCACGAAGCAUGUUAAGGGACAUGAGUGACCUAGAUGGAAUUUGCCCAUCCUGCGUAAUAGGAUAAAUGUCUAUGGGCCCAAUAUUGAACUGGACAAGGAUGACACGGUCUAUGCCUUGUGUUCAAUAUAGACAUAAUGGCAAAAGGGUAAUUGUACACAUAAGUAUUAUCACAAAAAGAUUUGUCAGAUCAUAUGAUAUUUUCGUGUCUUGGGUAGCAGUGAUGCGUUGCUAGAUACCGCUCACUGUUUAUUAUGUUAAAUACGUGAUUUAAUACAAUUGGCAAUGCCGCGAAAACCUACAGGGUCACACACAAAAGGACGGAUUGAUGAGAGAUAGAGUAACUAAGGAACACCGUAAGGUACGGUGCACUUAAGUGAAUUAUAGAACAUCUUAAGGUACAGUGUACUUAAGUAGAAUACGAAAUAUGGUAAGGUACCACACGCUUAAGUGAUUUUGGCAUAUUAUAAGAUAUGAGCCACAUACACUUAAGUGGACUUUUUUAGCUUACAACCCACACAAGUGGUUCUAUAAAUAGAACCCUUGUGCAGAAGCAUUUGUGCAUUUUCAAUUUCGUUUCUCUCUCUCUCUCUCUCUCUCUCUCUCUCUCUCUCUCUCUCACACACACACACACACACACACACACACUCAAAGCCUUCAUUUGUAGCAUCUAGCACUGAGAUUGAAGGAAUUCGUUCGUGUGGACUAAGUAGAGGCAUUGUCACCGUUCAACGUUCGUGAUCGCUCUGUAGAUCUGCAUCAAAGGUUUCAAUCUCCAUAAGAGAUGGUUAUGGUUGGCGCUUGUGGCAUUGUGGACUGUUGCUUGGUUUAUUGAGGUGAUUGUCAUGCCUACGUGUGGGUUAUGGUGAUAGUGAAGUAUAGUGUUUAAGACUAUGUUCUGUAUCAUAAAAAAACUAGUGUAGGAUUUGGACCUCUUUGUAAGAACAACAAGCAAUGUCACAUUUCAAUGCCGAUUCUAGCAAUGUAUUGAUAUGGUUUGAGCU